AGGGUUAGGGUUAGGCGAUUUGGCCCCUUUUACCCAAAUAUCACAUCUUAAAUCCCAUGGAUUGUCAAGCAUUGCAGCAAAAUAUCAGGGAGAGCGGAUUUUGACAUUUUGGUGUAGGAUUAGGCUGGAUGUGAAGUCUAUGGAGGUUGGCGCUCCAUGGUCCAUGGGUGUGUGUGAGUGCGCUGGUGCCCGGGCUUGGUUGCUGGUAGCAGGGGUGGGUGCAGGGUCUGAUGUGGAGACUCAGUGUUUCCCCUGGUUCUCAGGAGGCUUUACUUGGUACACCUGCAGCCACUUGCUGCACUCUUGAUUGCAUGAGCAGAAGGCAGCUGUGGGUACCUAACAUGCCAAUCAACGAAUGACUGAGGAGCAGUACUUAACAGCCCAGGACCGGAGCGGACUUCUUUCCCCUCCACUGUUCACACGAUUCUCAUAUCAACAUGGCGCCCCCAAAGCAUAGUGUUUGUUGCCCACUCUGCCGUUCUGAAUUUACCUAUAUAGGCAGGCACCUAAGAAAUAGUCAUGGCAUUAAAAAUUCAAAAGAGCGAGAAAUAUUGAUCAAGUACAGUAGUGGGAGGGUCAAUAUUAGAAAAAUGCCCUGUCCAGUGGAGGGCUGCAGUUAUGCUAGCACAAGGCUGGACAGGCAUAUUGCUCAAGCUCACCCGGAGAUGGAGGGGGAGAGGAAAGCCCAGGUGAUAACCGAUUUGAAGUACCAGGUAACGGUGCACAUGCUGCGAGCGUUGAGCGCCACAAACCCGAGCCCUCCGAUGGUCUCACGCUUACACAUGGACCCAAUAGCAAGAGAGGAAGCAAAUCGGUAUCAUCCAACAUCAGAACCCCUUGAUGACGAACCAUCGCCUUCAUCCUGCAACUCGUGCAAACAGCUUGAGGCAAAGAACCUGCAGCUUAUAUCCGACUUGGGGCAACUAAGAAAGAAAUUGCUGUACCAGCACAGAUGGGCUGAAAGGGCAAAAAAAA